AUGACGCUAAUCAGCUGGAACUGUCGAGGAAUUGGGCAGCCUCGUAUAGUUCGUGAGCUUGUGGGCCUAGUGCACACACACAAGCCUAAGUUAGUUUUUCUUUCAGAGACUCGGAAAAGCGAUGAUUACGUUAAUAAACUGAAAUGGAGGCUGGGCCUCAGGCAUUGUAUUGUGCAACCCGGCAUAGGAAAGAGUGCCGGGAUUGCUCUGUUUUAUGAUGAGGGUGUUGAAAUAAAAGAAAUCGCUAUUGGACCGAGGUAUAUCGAUGUGUUAAUCCGUUUGAGUCCCAAUAGUUUGCAAUGGAGGGGAAUGUUCGUGUAUGGCGAGCCAAAAUCACAUGAGCGUCACCACAUGUGGGAGCUUUUGAGAAGAAUUAGGCACAACUCCUCUGAACCUUGGCUCAUGAUCGGGGACUUCAACGAAACAAUGUGGCAAAGCGAACACUUCUCGAAAGCAAAGCGGUCUGAAAAGAACAUGGCUGAGUUUCGCAGGGUCCUUGCAGAAUGCAACCUUUAG
rnacentral:rRNA from 1 species